rnacentral:rRNA from 1 species
AUUGAACGCUGGCGGCAUGCCUUACACAUGCAAGUCGAACGGUAACAGGUUAAGCUGACGAGUGGCGAACGGGUGAGUAAUAUAUCGGAACGUGCCCAGUCGUGGGGGAUAACGUAGCGAAAGCUACGCUAAUACCGCAUACGAUCUACGGAUGAAAGCGGGGGAUCGUAAGACCUCGCGCGAUUGGAGCGGCCGAUAUCAGAUUAGGUUGUUGGUGAGGUAAAAGCUCACCAAGCCUGCGAUCUGUAGCUGGCCUGAGAGGACGACCAGCCACACUGGAACUGAGACACGGUCCAGACUCCUACGGGAGGCAGCAGUGGGGAAUUUUGGACAAUGGACGCAAGUCUGAUCCAGCAAUGCCGCGUGCAGGACGAAGGCCUUCGGGUUGUAAACUGCUUUUGUACGGAACGAAACGGUGAGCUCUAAUACAGUUUGCUAAUGACGGUACCGUAAGAAUAAGCACCGGCUAACUACGUGCCAGCAGCCGCCGUAA